CCUCAUCAGUUCCUGGAUCUGACUACUACAACUACAGCUCUUGGAUGUCUGGUUUCCAGCUUUGGGAAAACGAUUAUUUCACAUUCACACAUCCUUCCAGGAUUUUUUUCCUUUAAUUCUGUGACAAGAAAAACUUUCCAGAGACACGUAAAUUCUUAACAUCGGCAUCUUUAUUGCACAACAUUCCCAUAAAAUUGGGAAAAAAAAUAAUUUUUCGAAGAGACAAUUCUUAAAAGACAUUCUGUACAAAUACAUGGAAAUAAACUGAGUAUGUACAGUUUACAUGAAUCGUUACACAUAACUGUGGGCGAAUGAAUAAUUUAUUUAUCAUACAAAGAGGAGGGGAAGAUAAAUUCAUACCUUUUUUAAACAUAGUGGCUGGGUUGUACAAAAUGUAGGCUGAUACAGCGGAGCAUCUUCAAUACAGUAACAAGCGCGUAUGUGUGUUUGUGUGUGUGUGUGUGUGUGUGUGUGUGUGUGUGUAUAUCGAGUUUUACCAGCAAAAUGAGCUCUCCAGAAGCUCGUGAUGCGUUCAUGCUCCCUAUUAAGACUCGGGUCAUAUACAGGGUGCGAUUUGAGAUCAUAGAAAGAAAGUGCUCUCAAGGUCCUGCUUUUUCUGGCAAUAUAAGCCAUUCAAAAUACUGUGAUCCUGAAGGUCAUUAACAGACAUGCUCCAAUCUUUAAGUAAGAUUUUUAAAAAUGUGGGGAAAGUUAAACUUUGUCCGUCUUCCUCAUGAGGGAGGUAUGAAGAGCACAGCUGACCACAUAGUUAACAGAAAUGCCUGCUGUCUGCCUGUUUGCUCUAGGAUUGAAGCCAGUCAGCCAAACCCUCACACACACACACACACACACACACACACACACACAAAUCCACAUCAUUUAUAUCACUGUGCGCAGAGCACAGCCAUGGAACGUGCGUUGGCACAGACAUGGGCCAAAGUGCAAGCAGCACCACAAGGAGGUGAGCUUUCUGGUCCACUGGUAAAUAUAUCCACCAUGGGUGAUGAGCCCAGAGAAACAUUUUCCUAUGCAAGUUAAUCUAAAACUAAAAAGGGCACUUUCCCCUUGGUGGCAGACCUGACCCUGACCCAGAAUGUGUGUAGGAACAUACACAGGGAAACUGCACAUCAACUGAGGGAGUAUAGAGUAUCCUACCAAGUCAGGUUGAAUUUUGCCCUAGUACUAAUGCCACUUACAGUAACAUUACUUGUGAUGCUGUAUUUACCUUUGGAACAAAAUAAAAAAAAACUUUUAGACAAUUCUUCACAUAAUCUACAUUCAUUACAUUUACUGGUAUGUACCAAACAAACAUGUUUUCUUACAUGUGGAGCACAAGCUUUCUAUAUAUUAUAAAUAUUUAAUGUCAAUCAUUUCUAGCCAUCUGCCUGCCUUAAUGGGUGUAAGACAUGUGCAACCUGUAUGUUGUUAAGUACCACAAGUAGGCAUGCACAAUAUAGACUUUUGUCAGACAAUACAGAGCAGCAGUUUAAAACCCGUAGUUUAUGCACACUUGAAAGUAAGGGGAAAAAAAUACAUUAUAAAAUGACACUACUCAAAAUGAUUUAGGAUAUUGGGAUAUGUUAGUUUUUCACUUGAUUGUUUAUUCUGCGACAGAUCUGAGUUUUUAUUUUGUGUUUUGUGAGUAUUUCAGGUCCCCAAAAAUAGUGUGACACAUUUCACUUGACUUUAACGCAUAUCCAUGCACAUACACGGAUGCACCGAUACCACAAUAUCCAUAACUAAUUUUGUGUAGCAUAUAAUCAGAUCUUGCUAUGUCGCAUAUGCGUCACUGGUGUAAACUUGAUAUAUACUGUGGUACUGAUGUAGUUUGUACAAGGCAUCACUGAUGUAGUUUGUACAAGGCAUCACUGCUGUAAACAAGUAGUACGAUGAUAGUUAAACAUCUUUUUGUAGAUUUGUAGUCCAGGGCAUCUCUACAGCACUACUGUACGUUAUCAUAACGCUGUUGUCACACAUUUUAACUUUAUCAUAAGACUGCAGCUCUAGUAUAUGUUUUCUAUGUAUGUACAAUGUAAAUAAUUUCUGUCCGUCUGCCUAAUGGGUGUAAAACAUGUGCAACCAGUGCAUUAAGUACGAUAAUAAGGGGUGCCCGAUAUGGGCUUCAUAAUUUUGAGUAUAAUCAGAUAAUACCAUGUUGCAUAUGCAGCACUGAUAUACAGUGUUUGUACAAGGCAUCACUGGGGAAAACAUGACAUCAUGGUAUUUAAACAUCCCUAUUUGCGGCUUUGAAAACAGACGAUUUCAGGUGCCUCGCUAGACUACAGCCCAUCUACUGGGGCUUAAGCCUGGUUUGUCGUGGAUCUGUCUGUCAUCAGUGGCCAACUGAAGUGAUCGCAUGUGCUCCACCACAGAGCACACUGUGUCCUCAGCUGCUGUCUGACGGCUGUGGCGAUGAGUAUUGUGCCGUCACAUGAAGCCAAGGAAGCCAGCUGUAGCGUAACAAGUUAUAUUGGUGGUACAGACAAAAAGACACCGACUGUGCUGUCACGGCUGCCCUGUUGUUUUCUUCCUACCACGCAGGCUUUGCUGCCGUUACCACAGAAACACAAAGGGGGACACGAGGAAGACAAAAGGAGAAAGCAGGACACAACUUCUGAACGAUUAUACCGACAAAUCACUUCAGGUGGAAAGGAAGCCUUCAUUCUCAACUUAUUAUCACUCAUUAUCAACAGCAGGCGAGCUGUAAUACUUAUGUAAACGAGCAGAAAAAAAAGUGCUGUUGGCUGAUGAGGCGAGCCGAGUCCCAACGGGAGACAGCGCGUGCAGCAGCCGCGCUAUCGUCUGGCAGCUAGCAUUAGCAUGUUGGCUAACCUCGCCAACAGGCAGAAAACACGUACCGCACGUCUCACCGUGCUUUGAUAGACCAGCUUCAAAUAGACUAAAACUGCACAGCUGGGACUUCUGAAGCGCAAGAAUACACAGCGAAACUCUGCCACGUUCACAGAGGCCGCGGAGAAAGUCACAGCAUACACACGUAAAGCGUUACACACAAACCCGAAACACACACACACUCAACAGAAAGCAGCUACCUGAAAGCUGGGUCCUCUUUGCUGCACCUCGGGGGCGGCGACGAAAACGCAUUUCUCUUGUUGAAAAGUUUCUGGAAGAGAGUCGGAGGCAUUUUGUACCAAAAUAAAGUCGGUACAGAAGGUCUCUCUUCUUUUCAAAUCCAAGAGCAAUUCUUGUUCCUUGUAACUGUCUCCAUGGGUGUCACAGUCAUAUGACAGGCAUUAGUCACGGGAGCUGCUUGGUAACCCACUACAUUUUUC
rnacentral:lncRNA from 1 species